AUGGUCCCCAAAGGACAUGCCGGGUGUUCCGAAGGAUUUCGCCGAGCACAAGUACACGUCCGAGCAGAUGCAAAACCAGUCAAACAACCCCUUCGCCGACUGUCGGAGGAGAAGAGAAGGAUUGUAGGAGAAAAGAUAGCCCGGCUUUUGGCAGCCGGCUUUAUUAUGGAGGUGUUUUUUCUAGAAUGGCUUGCCAACCCAGUCCUCGUAUUGAAGAAAAACAAUAAGUGGCGCAUGUGUAUAGAUUACACCAGCCUCAACAAAGCCUGCCCCAAAGAUCCGUUUGCCUUACCUCGAAUGGAUCAAGUGAUAGACUCCACAGCCGGAUGCGAGCUAUUGAGUUUUUUGGAUGCUUACUCAGGCUACCAUCAGAUCAAGUUGGAUCCAGUCGACCGCCUGAAGACCGCCUUCAUCACACCAUUCGGAGCUUUCUGCUACCUGACUAUGACAUUCGGCUUGAGAAAUGCCGGUGCCACUUUUCAGCGUUGCAUGCAGAAAUGCCUCCUCAAGCAACUCGGCAGAAAUGCCCACGUCUAUGUAGAUGAUAUUGUGGUGAAGACGGAGAAGCGUGGCACCCUUCUGGAAGACCUCAGAGAAACAUUCGACAACCUGCGCCGGUUUCAGAUCAAGCUCAACCCUGAGAAAUGCGUGUUCGGAGUACCAGCCGGCCAGCUUCUAGGCUUCUUGGUCUCCGAACGCGGCAUCGAGUGCAACCAAGUGAAGAUCAAGGCCAUAGAGAGAAUGCAGAUUCCUAGCAAGCUGCGAGACGUCCAAAAGUUUACCGGUGCCUAG
rnacentral:rRNA from 1 species